rnacentral:rRNA from 1 species
ACUAAGCGUACACGGUGGAUGCCCUGGCAGUCAGAGGCGAUGAAGGACGUGCUAAUCUGCGAAAAGCGUCGGUAAGGUGAUAUGAACCGUUACAGCCGGCGAUGUCCGAAUGGGGAAACCCAGUGCAAUUCGUUGCACUAUCGUUAACUGAAUACAUAGGUUAACGAGGCGAACCGGGGGAACUGAAACAUCUAAGUACCCCGAGGAAAAGAAAUCAACCGAGAUUCCCCCAGUAGCGGCGAGCGAACGGGGAGGAGCCCAGAGCCUGAAUCAGUGUGUGUGUUAGUGGAAGCGUCUGGAAAGGCGCGCGAUACAGGGUGACAGCCCCGUACACAAAAAUGCACAUGCUGUGAGCUCGAUGAGUAGGGCGGGACACGUGGUAUCCUGUCUGAAUAUGGGGGGACCAUCCUCCAAGGCUAAAUACUCCUGACUGACCGAUAGUGAACCAGUACCGUGAGGGAAAGGCGAAAAGAACCCCGGCGAGGGGAGUGAAAAAGAACCUGAAACCGUGUACGUACAAGCAGUGGGAGCACGCUUAGGCGUGUGACUGCGUACCUUUUGUAUAAUGGGUCAGCGACUUAUAUUCUGUAGCAAGGUUAACCGAAUAGGGGAGCCGAAGGGAAACCGAGUCUUAACUGGGCGUUAAGUUGCAGGGUAUAGACCCGAAACCCGGUGAUCUAGCCAUGGGCAGGUUGAAGGUUGGGUAACACUAACUGGAGGACCGAACCGACUAAUGUUGAAAAAUUAGCGGAUGACUUGUGGCUGGGGGUGAAAGGCCAAUCAAACCGGGAGAUAGCUGGUUCUCCCCGAAAGCUAUUUAGGUAGCGCCUCGUGAAUUCAUCUCCGGGGGUAGAGCACUGUUUCGGCAAGGGGGUCAUCCCGACUUACCAACCCGAUGCAAACUGCGAAUACCGGAGAAUGUUAUCACGGGAGACACACGGCGGGUGCUAACGUCCGUCGUGAAGAGGGAAACAACCCAGACCGCCAGCUAAGGUCCCAAAGUCAUGGUUAAGUGGGAAACGAUGUGGGAAGGCCCAGACAGCCAGGAUGUUGGCUUAGAAGCAGCCAUCAUUUAAAGAAAGCGUAAUAGCUCACUGGUCGAGUCGGCCUGCGCGGAAGAUGUAACGGGGCUAAACCAUGCACCGAAGCUGCGGCAGCGACACUAUGUGUUGUUGGGUAGGGGAGCGUUCUGUAAGCCGUUGAAGGUGGCCUGUGAGGGUUGCUGGAGGUAUCAGAAGUGCGAAUGCUGACAUAAGUAACGAUAAUGCGGGUGAAAAACCCGCACGCCGGAAGACCAAGGGUUCCUGUCCAACGUUAAUCGGGGCAGGGUGAGUCGACCCCUAAGGCGAGGCCGAAAGGCGUAGUCGAUGGGAAACAGGUUAAUAUUCCUGUACUUGGUGUUACUGCGAAGGGGGGACGGAGAAGGCUAUGUUGGCCGGGCGACGGUUGUCCCGGUUUAAGCGUGUAGGCUGGUUUUCCAGGCAAAUCCGGAAAAUCAAGGCUGAGGCGUGAUGACGAGGCACUACGGUGCUGAAGCAACAAAUGCCCUGCUUCCAGGAAAAGCCUCUAAGCAUCAGGUAACAUCAAAUCGUACCCCAAACCGACACAGGUGGUCAGGUAGAGAAUACCAAGGCGCUUGAGAGAACUCGGGUGAAGGAACUAGGCAAAAUGGUGCCGUAACUUCGGGAGAAGGCACGCUGAUAUGUAGGUGAAGUCCCUUGCGGAUGGAGCUGAAAUCAGUCGAAGAUACCAGCUGGCUGCAACUGUUUAUUAAAAACACAGCACUGUGCAAACACGAAAGUGGACGUAUACGGUGUGACGCCUGCCCGGUGCCGGAAGGUUAAUUGAUGGGGUUAUCCGUAAGGAGAAGCUCUUGAUCGAAGCCCCGGUAAACGGCGGCCGUAACUAUAACGGUCCUAAGGUAGCGAAAUUCCUUGUCGGGUAAGUUCCGACCUGCACGAAUGGCGUAAUGAUGGCCAGGCUGUCUCCACCCGAGACUCAGUGAAAUUGAACUCGCUGUGAAGAUGCAGUGUACCCGCGGCAAGACGGAAAGACCCCGUGAACCUUUACUAUAGCUUGACACUGAACAUUGAGCCUUGAUGUGUAGGAUAGGUGGGAGGCUUUGAAGUGUGGACGCCAGUCUGCAUGGAGCCGACCUUGAAAUACCACCCUUUAAUGUUUGAUGUUCUAACGUUGACCCGUAAUCCGGGUUGCGGACAGUGUCUGGUGGGUAGUUUGACUGGGGCGGUCUCCUCCUAAAGAGUAACGGAGGAGCACGAAGGUUGGCUAAUCCUGGUCGGACAUCAGGAGGUUAGUGCAAUGGCAUAAGCCAGCUUGACUGCGAGCGUGACGGCGCGAGCAGGUGCGAAAGCAGGUCAUAGUGAUCCGGUGGUUCUGAAUGGAAGGGCCAUCGCUCAACGGAUAAAAGGUACUCCGGGGAUAACAGGCUGAUACCGCCCAAGAGUUCAUAUCGACGGCGGUGUUUGGCACCUCGAUGUCGGCUCAUCACAUCCUGGGGCUGAAGUAGGUCCCAAGGGUAUGGCUGUUCGCCAUUUAAAGUGGUACGCGAGCUGGGUUUAGAACGUCGUGAGACAGUUCGGUCCCUAUCUGCCGUGGGCGCUGGAGAAUUGAGGGGGGCUGCUCCUAGUACGAGAGGACCGGAGUGGACGCAUCACUGGUGUUCGGGUUGUCAUGCCAAUGGCAUUGCCCGGUAGCUAAAUGCGGAAGAGAUAAGUGCUGAAAGCAUCUAAGCACGAAACUUGCCCCGAGAUGAGUUCUCCCUGACUCCUUGAGAGUCCUGAAGGAACGUUGAAGACGACGACGUUGAUAGGCCGGGUGUGUAAGCGCAGCGAUGCGUUGAGCUAACCGGUACUAAUGAACCGUGAGGCUUAACC